rnacentral:rRNA from 1 species
UACGUAGGGUGCAAGCGUUAAUCGGAAUUACUGGGCGUAAAGCGUGCGCAGGCGGUUGUGCAAGACAGAUGUGAAAUCCCCGGGCUCAACCUGGGAAUUGCAUUUGUGACUGCACGGCUAGAGUGUGUCAGAGGGGGGUAGAAUUCCACGUGUAGCAGUGAAAUGCGUAGAGAUGUGGAGGAACACCGAUGGCCGGAAGGCAGCCCCCUGGGAUAAUACUGACGCUCAUGCACGAAAGCGUGGGGAGCAAACAGG